CGCGUAGGUGGGCAAGUAAGUCUGAUGUGAAAUCUUCACCGCUCAACGGGAAGGAGCCAUUGGAUACUGCUUGUCUUGAGGUUGCUAGAGGGAAACGGAACUCCGGGUGUAGCGGUGGAAUGCGUAGAUAUCCGGAAGAACACCGAUUGCGAAGGCGGUUUCCUGGGGCACACCUGACACUGAGGCGCGAAAGCCAGGGGAGCGAACG
rnacentral:rRNA from 1 species